AGUGAAUAGAUACCCUGGUAGUCCCAGCUGUAAACGAUGCGCGUUAGGUGUAUCGGUGACCACGAGUCAUCGAGGUGCCGAAGGGAAACCGUGAAACGUGCCGCCUGGGAAGUACGGUCGCAAGGCUGAAACUUAAAAGAAUUGGCGGGGGAGCACCACAACGGGUGGAGCCUGCGGUUUAAUUGGACUCAACGCCGGGCAGCUCACCGGAUAAGACAGCUGGAUGAUAGCCGGGCUGAAGACUCUGCUUGACUAGCUGAGAGGAGGUGCAUGGCCGUCGUCAGUUCGUACUGUGAAGCAUCCUGUUAAGUCAGGCAACGAGCGAGACCCACGCCAACAGUUGCCAGCAUGUCCUCCGGGAUGAUGGGGGCACUGUUGGGACCGCCUCUGCUAAAGAGGAGGAAGGAAUGGGCAACGGUAGGUCAGCAUGCCCCGAAUUAUCCGGGCUACACGCGGGCUACAAUGGUCAGGACAAUGGGUAUCGACACCGAGAGGUGGAGGCAAUCUCCU
rnacentral:rRNA from 1 species